rnacentral:rRNA from 1 species
UACGAAGGGGGCUAGCGUUGUUCGGAAUUACUGGGCGUAAAGGGCGCGUAGGCGGUGUGUCAAGUCAGGCGUGAAAGCCCCGGGCUCAACCUGGGAACCGCGCUUGAGACUGGCACGCUCGAGUUCGGGAGAGGAUGGUGGAAUUCCCAGUGUAGAGGUGAAAUUCGUAGAUAUUGGGAAGAACACCGAUGGCGAAGGCGGCUCUCUGGAACGGUACUGACGCUGAGACGCGAAAGCGUGGGGGGCAAACAGG